UACGGAGGGUGCGGGCGUUGUCCGGAAUCACUGGGCGUAAAGGGCGCGUAGGUGGCGCGGGCAGUCAACGGUGAAAGUUCGGGGCUCAACCCUGAAUCGGCCGUCGAUACUCCCGGGCUUGAGCACUGUAGAGGCAGAUGGAAUUCCGGGUGUAGCGGUGGAAUGCGUAGAGAUCCGGAAGAACACCGGUGGCGAAGGCGGUCUGCUGGGCAGUAGCUGACACUGAGGCGCGACAGCGUGGGGAGCAAACAGG
rnacentral:rRNA from 1 species